AGAACACAAGGAAGGGCUAUAGCUCAAUUAGGUAGAGCACCUCGUUUACACACCGAGAAGGUCUACGGUUCGAAUCCGUAUAGCCCUA
rnacentral:tRNA from 1 species